rnacentral:rRNA from 1 species
CAAAAACAUAGCCCUAGAAAAUAUCUAAGGUGUAACCUGCCCAGUGAUCUUUAUAUUUAUAGAUUAAAAUUCUAUUAAUAGGAUUAAAAGGACGCGGUAACCUUGACCGUGAUAAUGUAGCAUAAUCACUCGCCAUUUAAUUGAUGGAUAGUAUGAAUGGUUGAACGAAUAUUCCGCUGUCUUAAAAAGAAUUAAUAAAAAUUGAAAUAAUAGUUAAGAUGCUAUUUUAAACUGUAAGACGAAAAGACCCUAUAGAGCUUAACUAUAAACUUCUUAUUAACAAAAAGAAAAAUAAUUCUUAUCAUAAGAAGUUUGGUAGUUUAGUUGGGGCGACUAUCUUUUAAAAAUAACAAAGAUAAGCAAUGUUAAUAAUUAACUUAUUGUAUAACUUAAUAGUUUAACAAUUAUUAAAAUAGGCUAUAGUGACCCGUUUUUACUGAAUAAAAGGAAAAACGAUCAAUUGAUAAAAGCUACCUUAGGGAUAACAGGAUAAUUUUAUUUUAGAGUUCCUAUCGAAAAUAAAGUUUGUCACCUCUAUGUUGAAUUAAGAUAUCCUGAUAAUGCAGAAGUUAUCAAAGGUAGGUCUGUUCGACCUUUAAAAUCUUACAUGAUUUGAGUUCAUUCCG